rnacentral:tRNA from 1 species
GGCACUUUGGCGGAGUGGUUAACGCGCUGCCCUGCUAUACAUGCUAGGCAGUUCCUUCGGGAGCGUGUGUUCGAAUCACACAGGUGUCG